UAUUGUUAGUCGUCACGACGUCACUAAAUCAUCGUCAGUGUAUGCGUUCGUAUAGAAAAAAUUUAGUCAGACGAGUGUACACAAACCUUAUUACAGUCGUGAAAUACCGUGUUAUAAUAAGAGAGCUGAUGUGACACCGUAAUACUUGCAUGCCUAAACAGUAAACGUACUAUAGUUUAUUAAUUAUAGUUCAUCCAUCGAGUAUAAUAUAAGCACAAUUUAAUUACAUCAAUCAUUCAACCGUAUAAUGUCGGUCUAUGAAAACGUAGACUACGAUGGCUUGUUGGCGAAAAUGGACCAAAAAUCGUUUGUGAUUGAUGUCCGUGAACGCCACGAGCUUGCUGCGACUGGAUCAUUACCCAACAGCAUAAACGUUCCACUCGGCGAGUUGGAAAACGAUUUAAAUUUGUCCGCUGAAGUAUUUGAGAAAAAAUACCAAGUGCCCAAACCUGACAAAGAUAGUAGCGAAAUCGUAUUCUCCUGUGCCCGGGGAAAUAGAAGUCGCCGUGCAGCUGAAAUCGCUUUCAAACUAAAUUAUAAAAAGUUAUUUAAUUACACAGGCGGUUGGGCCGAAUGGUCGGUGAAAUAUCCAAGUACAUAAUAUAAUUUAAUACUUGAAAAUUGGAAUCAACUAGUAUGAAAUAUACUAAAUAAUUAAAUGUACAUAUUAUUCUCUAAGUACCUUUCCGAGAGGAAGCAAUGCGAAAGCGGUCCCCUCCCGGUCGUCGAUUUCAACCCGGAAAAAAAAAAAAUCCAAUGCAUUGUUUUUGCCUUCUGGUCAAAUGUAUGUAUAUCAGUGCAGCAACAUCUCUAAACUCUUAAUAAAGGAUUAAACGGAGUAUUUUUGUUUUCACAUAAUUUUAAAUUAAUUAUUAUAAAACAGAUAAACAUUUAUUUAUGAGAACAUUAUACUCGCAUGGGUUGUUACUGUUUUACUAAUGCACUACACGGCAAAUUUUAUGUUCAAAGUAAUCUAUUUUAUUUUAAUCUUAAACUGAGUUGACCAAUUAUCACAUUUAAAGGUUAGAAUAUUAUUUAGCCCACUCUCCUCCUCAAUAUAAGAUUUAUUUUAUAUUUUAAUUUUAAAGCAAGUUAUGAGUAGAUAUUGUAAAUGUUUUAAAUUUGUACACAACAGUGUAAAAUGGAGUAUACUGAACUUAAAAUUAGGUAAGUAUAGUGUGCAUUAGUUAGUUGGAAAUAACAAUAAGUAAUAACGCAUAGAACAGCGGGUACAAUUUUAUGCAUACAAACAAUGUUAAUUAAAGGAUAAUAAAAUAUAAUAUUGUAUUAAUAUACAUAAAA